AUUGAACGCUGGCGGCAGGCCUAACACAUGCAAGUCGAGCGGAUGAAGGGAGCUUGCUCCUGGAUUCAGCGGCGGACGGGUGAGUAAUGCCUAGGAAUCUGCCUGGUAGUGGGGGAUAACGUCCGGAAACGGGCGCUAAUAACGCAUACGUCCUGCGGGAGCAAGUGGGGGAGCUUCGGACCUCACGCUAUCAGAUGAGCUUAGGUCGGAUUAGCUAGUUGGUGGGGUAAAGGCCUACUAAGGCGACGAUCCGUAACUGGUCUGAGAGGAUGAUCAGUCACACUGGAACUUAGACACGGUCCAGACUCCUACGAGAGGGAGCAGAGGGGAAUAUUGGACAAUAGGCGAAAGUCUGAUCCAGCCAUGCCGCGUGUGUGAAGAAGGUCUUCGGAUUGUAAAGAACUUUAAGUUGGGAGGAAGGGCAGUAAGUUAAUACCUUGCUGUUUUGACGUUACCAACAGAAUAAGCACCGGCUAACCUCGUG
rnacentral:rRNA from 1 species